UGCCAAGAACGUGUGUGGAGAGACAUUACUGGAGCCUUUCUCUGCAAGACACGAGCCACAACAACUAAUACACAAGAGUGAACACUCAUGCGCAUACGCGCGCACACACACACACACACAAACACACACACACUCUUCUUCACCAAUCACACACACCCUCGCCUGCCUCCACACACACAAACCAAUACUCACACACCUGCUAGGAAAGGGAGUACAAUGCACACCAGUGCACGGCAUUACAAAAACAAAGCUGCACAAUAGUUGGCAGGUGUUUGAACGUCAAACUCCGUAAGAGUAUUUCACCUGCUGUGUGCUGAGAUGAAACAGGCUCUGAAUGCAAGCACAGAAGUGGAAACAAGGAACUGAAGGAAGAUGGAGAGGAGGAAAAAGAAGCCAACUUUCAGCUCUACCUCAGCUCCUUAUCCCUUGUCCCGCCUUUCCACAACCAAGUGUCAGCCAUUCAGUCCAUGGAUUCACAACACAAAGGGAACACUCCCCCACUGGAGAUUCCUGUGCAUUCGCUGGAAAGAAACAGAUGGCGAAGAACAGCCUUAGAAUGUGGUAUAAGCAAUGUGUAAGAAAAGCCGAGCACAAGUCACACAGUCCUGCAUAUUGGAUACAAUAUUUAAAAUCAAUAGAUUUUAUUUUGUUUUUGUGUUGUUUCUUUAUCUCCCCCUCUCUCUCUUCUCUGGUUAUUUCAUUAUGUCUAUAUAAGGGAUUUAUGAAUUAGGGUUUACACCAGCCAACAGAGUGCCAGCCAAAGCCAGGAGUUGUAAAUCAACUAACUUUGAAUGACAUCUCACCCAGAAGGGAUUCCUGCUGAAUCAUCACAUCCAUGUUUGUCCGGCCUAGGAGAGUGGACCGUGUUGGUUGAGUAUGCGUAUCAAUCAAUCAACUCCUGACCCAUUCUUUGACCUUGAGCUGGCUAGUGUACAACAUGAAUACACUGUUUGUAAGCAAAUCUAUUAAAACUUCCUGGGGACUAUUUCACACCACAUUGACCAAUGGGAUUGUCUGAGUCAGCCGCUAACAGGAAGUGAAGAUACACAACUAAAGGCAUUAGAGACCAGAGCCCUAGGACCAUGCCUCAGGACGACCUCGCCUGAUGACUCCUGGCUGUCCACAGUCCACCUUGUAGGGCAGCUGCUCCAAUUUGAACUGUUCUGCCUGCGGCUAUGGAACCCUGACCUGUUCACCAGACCUGCUGUGUUCGACUCUCCCUCUCUCUCUCUCCCUCUCUCAACCUCUGAAUGCUUGUCUAUGAAAAGCCAACUGACAUUUACUCCUGAGGUACUGACCUGUUGUACCCCCUACAACCACUGUGAUUAUUAUUUCACCCUGAUGGUCAUCUAUGAACAUCUUGAAGAACAAUCUGGCCUUAAUGGCCAUGUACUCUUUUAAUCUCUACCCGACACAGCCAGAAGAUGACUGGCCACCCCUCAGAGCCUGAUUCCUCUCUAGGUUUCGUCCUAGGCUCCUGCCUUUCUAGGGAUUUUUUCCUAGCCACCGUGCUUCUACAUCUGCAUUGCUUGCUUUUUGGGGUUUUAGGCUGGGUUUCUGUAUAAGCACUUUGUGAAAUCUGCUGACGUGAAAAGUGCUUUGUGAAUACAUUUGAUUUGAUUUGAAGAGGGGUUUCUUUGCGAACGGAACGGCACCCACAUCGCCAUAAAAGCACCAUCCCAAAACAAUGUGAACAGAAAAGGCUUUCACUCUUAAUGUGCAGGUGAUGCACAAAAGAAGCUGCUGAAUGUGGUGGCAAGGUGGCCAGUUGGAACGCAUGGCUCGUUCAUUCUGCAGAACAACAUUGUUGCCCUAUACGCCUACAGGCGGGAGCUGUUGAGGAUAGAUAGCUUAUUGUUGAGUGUUGCCUACUCAUUUGGAGUAUAUUUGCCAUUGCUAAAGAAACUUGAAUUGUCCCAAUGGUCGUGAACUUCAGGAAACAGCAGAGGGAGCACCCCCCUAUCCCCAUCGACGGAACAGUAGUGGAGAAGGUGGAAAGUUUAAGUUUUAAGUGCCUCGACGGACACAUCACGGACAAACUGAAAUGGUCCACCCACACAGACAGUGUGGUGAAGAAGGCGCAACAGCGCCUCUUCAACUUCAGGAGGCUGAAGAAAUUCCGCUUGUCAUAAAAAACACUCACAAACUUUUACAGAUGCACAAUCGAGAGCAUCCUGUCGGGCUGUAUCACCGCCUGGUACGGCAACUGCUCCGCCCACAACCAUACGGCUCUCCAGAGGUUGCCCCCCACCGGGGGCAAACUACCUGCCCUCCAGGACACCUACACCACCUGAUGUCACAGGAAGGCCAAAAAGAUCAUCAAGGACAACAACCACCCAAGCCACUGCCUGUUCACCCCGCUAUCAUCCAGAAGGCGAGGUCAGUACAGGUGCAUCAAAGCUGGGACCGAGAGACUGAAAAACAGCUUCUAUCUCAAGGCCAUUAGACUGUUAAACAGCCAUCACUAACAUUGAGUGGCUG